CGAGAGGGAAGGCAGCACUGCAGCGCCGUGACGAGUCAAAGUGUGGGCAGUUGUCUGUGGCGGGCCGUCGGUUCUGUGAACUGGGUCAUUAGAACAGGUUGGGAACGUCGGAAGUACACUUGGGGACUCUCCAAAACAGGACGAGGGAUUCAGUCCAUGCAUGAGAAAAUAAAAAAACACUUCUCCCUCGAAGCAUGAUGCCUUCUCAUCCUCGAGGCCUCCGAGAAAAAGAGUGCAUUCAUCCAAACAGUGUUAUCACCGAGAGCCUCCUGUGUCCUUCCAUCAGCGUGCGGCUCAACCUCAGCUUCAGAUCCCGGAGGGGGGCGGGGCUGAACUGAAAUGUCAGGUCCUCCGGGGGGGAGGAGGUGCCGUGACUGCAACCUGUCACUCAGCAGCUGUCAAGACGUUUACGGUGACAUUAAUUGUGACCUGAAGAACUACCCUAAACGUGCUGUAAAAGAUCCUCCUUGACCUGACAUUUGCACCCAGAACUGCUCACGGUUGACAUCCUCGCCUAUGGCAGCCGUCACAGACUGAAACCAUCAAGACAAGAAGAUGAAGCCAGACCCUCUGCACAACGAGGGGGGAGUCACCUUCGGUCUCGUGUGGCGUCUAAAUCAGACAAAUCUCUGUUCGGGACACUCAAAUAUUGUAUAACAGCUUUUCGUGAGGAACACAUCAAAUAUGCAUCAAGUUUUUUUUCCGAGGCCUUCGUUUUGGGUUAGCCAAGGUGGAACAUGUCUGCCACUGGGAGCGUGUCUGUGGACAAGACUUUCCAAACCAGACACACACACACACACACACACACACACACGAACAAACACAAAGAGACAGUUGGAUUCGGAACACACUGAGACGUGGCAUUUACAAGGGAACACAAAUCCUUUGAACAUGAUGCUCUCCGGCAUUCGAGAACAUCCCGUCACAAAGUCACUGUGCCUGCCUGCCCGCAUGCGUGCGUGCGUGCGCUAUACUAUUAUAAUCAUCAUAUUUAUGUUGAUGGUAUGUGUAAUUUCAAAGUCAGCCGUAUGGAUUUACUGCGCAGUCGUUCAAUGUAACCGCAAAGCUCUCAGCGGUAUACGUCUCUGAUGAGAAGGAAGCUUCGUGGGCGGAGCUUGAGAAAGUGUGUUUUUUUUGUGUGGAAAUGUUGCAGGCAGCUGAAGGGAAAGUUUUGCCCUCAGCAGCAUUUUGUCACCUCCAUAAGAGUUGUCGUCUUCCCACCAGACACUAUUUUUUGUGUGUGAUGUUUUACCAUAAUUCAGAGUGAAGUUAAGUUCAAAAGUGCAUGCAAGUUACACACACAGACACACACACGCACACACACCGCUGCUUUAUUGGCAAUGACAUCACCCACCAUUAGUGGUAUUCCCAGAGCCACGCGUGGACUCUGUAUCUAGAAUUGAAUUACGUUAUGGUCUGUAUUUUGGCCUGGGUGUAGAACUAUAUGGUAGCAUGUGUUGUCGUGGGCCCUCAGGAAUAUCUGCUGGAUUAUUUUCACUCGUGGACUCCAGGGAUCCUCUCAAACUUUCCUCUCAAGAUGAUUUUUUUGGGCCACUCGUGGGGCAGCGGAACAAGCUGUAAACAUUAUUUAAAUAUAUUAAUUCUACGUUGGCGAACAACUGCUUAUUUACAAAUUUAGCAACAUAAGCUUUUAUUUGGAGUUGCGUUUCUGGUCACCCAAUGACAUCAAAUCCAAUAUUCACACUGCUUUUAGCUCCGUUUUGGUCUCCACCAACCUGGGAAUGAAAUAUCGGUCUCUUUGGCUCUUCAUCGUUCUACCAAUUGGUGCUUGGCAGGUAGCGUGCCGUGUUUUUUAAAGAGCUUUUCCGCCUGGAAACAAAGCUUCCUGUUGUGUUGGAAAACGACACGAAAGUGAAUGGUGAAAUAAAAACAAAAUGAGCUGAAAGACCCUAAAGCACGAAGAGGAGCUGCGGAUUCAGGUCAUAUUUCUCAUUA